rnacentral:rRNA from 1 species
UGAGGAAUAUUGGUCAAUGGACGAGAGUCUGAACCAGCCAAGUAGCGUGAAGGAUGACUGCCCUAUGGGUUGUAAACUUCUUUUAUAUGGGAAUAAAAUGAGUUACGUGUAGCUUUUGUAUGUACCAUAUGAAUAAGGAUCGGCUAACUCCGUGCCAGCAGCCGCGGUAAUACGGAGGAUCCGAGCGUUAUCCGGAUUUAUUGGGUUUAAAGGGAGCGUAGAUGGGUUGUUAAGUCAGUUGUGAAAGUUUGCGGCUCAACCGUAAAAUUGCAAUUGAUACUGGCGUCCUUGAGUACAGUUGAGGUGGGCGGAAUUCGUGGUGUAGCGGUGAAAUGCUUAGAUAUCACGAAGAACUCCUAUUGCGAAGGCAGCUCACUAAACUGCAACUGACAUUGAGGCUCGAAAGUGUGGGUAUCAAACAGGAUUAGAUACC